rnacentral:rRNA from 1 species
AUUGAACGCUGGCGGCAGGCUUAACACAUGCAGGUCGAGCGGGGAAGGGUAGCUUGCUACCUAACCUAGCGGCGGACGGGUGAGUAAUGCUUAGGAAUCUGCCAUUUAGUGGGGGACAACAUUCCGAAAGGAAUGCUAAUACCGCAUACGUCCUACGAGAGAAAGCAGGGGAUCUUCGGACCUUGCGCUAAAUGAUGAGCCUAAGUCGGAUUAGCUAGUUGGUGGGGUAAAGGCCUACCAAGGCGACGAUCUGUAGCGGGUCUGAGAGGAUGAUCCGCCACACUGGGACUGAGACACGGCCCAGACUCCUACGGGAGGCAGCAGUGGGGAAUAUUGGACAAUGGGCGGAAGCCUGAUCCAGCCAUGCCGCGUGUGUGAAGAAGGCCUUAUGGUUGUAAAGCACUUUAAGCGAGGAGGAGGCUGCUUAGAUUAAUACUCUAGGAUAGUGGACGUUACUCGCAGAAUAAGCACCGGCUAAUUCUGUGCCAGCCGCCGCCGUAA